rnacentral:lncRNA from 1 species
AGGUUUGUCAGCUUCGGCCUGACUUCCUGAAUGUGUGAGAAUCAUGGAAAGAACAACAUCAAGAGAAAUGAGACAUACCCAUGGAGUCACAGGCAGGCAUGAUACAAUCUUCCCUCUGAAAUAACACCAGCUAUUUUCAGCUUGUUUUUUUUCUUUUUUCAGUACGAAUCCUUUCCACUCAGUGAUGACCCAAAACCAGCGUCACUUAUUGGAACACAAGCACAGCACAGAGACACUGUUACCAAUGUGCGCAAUUAUUAUAUACAGAACAAAUCUACUUCCUGUCUCACCUUGUCAGUUGGGCACAUCUGGAAAUGUUUUAAUUUCAUUCUCGUGGCUUGACACGGGUCAGGAGGACGCCUCGCUCUGAGCCUGGACGGGACACACCCUGCAUAUGUGAGGGCCUCUCCUCCACAUCUGUGUCCAUGUGUGUUUCAAAUCCAAAAGUGACUCUCUGUAAACAUGCCAGAGGGGAAGAGAGUUGUCUUUUGGAUCUCUACAUGCUGCAUGAUGCAAUCUGCCUGCAACACAUGAAAUGUAAAUAUAUCCUCAACACGGUGAGAAAAAAGAGCAGUUUUGUAACAUUGCAACAUAAUUGUAGUCGUCAGCCGCAGACACCCAAGUACAUGGUAUGUGCAUCAUGGGUGGCACUGGAUACUCUUGUUGUUGCACCACACCAGAUUAAGGAGAGAAGAGGAUUUAGCGCCAUGCGAGGAAGGUUUUGGGCAAAACUCCAGAAGUCUUUGUGAAAAUAGGCAAUUUGUUUUUGGCUAGUGGAGGUCAAGCUCAAGGAAGGAUUUUUAAAGAGUCACUUCUGUCCUUUUGUGGAUUAACAAUGAGCCAUUCUCCACUCAGAACAGGAUAUCAACAAAUAACAUAUUCUAAUUUAAUUUACAACCAUACUGUAUGUACAGACUACUUUCCAUGAGUGACACUUUCAGUGAGCGGUCUAGAAAAUAUCCAAUCAUCGUGUUUGUCUUGUGGUGCAAUAAGUAUAUUGUCGUCCAAAUCAGAGUUUUCACAGUUGAACAUUAAAAAAAUGCCAAUGAGAUAUUUUUAUUUUUCUGGAGAGCUUCCAGGGGCUUUCCGUCUGCUGUCAACUCUUCUGAC